UAAAUUGAAGCCAAAUGUCAAGGCACUUAGCUGUUAACUAAGAGUUCCAGGGAUAGAUACCCUCCAGUUUAG
rnacentral:tRNA from 1 species